rnacentral:lncRNA from 1 species
AGGAAAUUGUUUUUUUAAGGAUGUAACUCGGGACGUACACAAACACACACCACACUCACACCACAACACAUGUGUGCGCAUCCCUACCACACACUUAGGAUUUUAAGGUGCGUACGCGUGUGAGGGGAAAAUCCUCGGAUAAAACGCGCAAGUUAUGAUCCCAAGGAUCGAACUCACAUGGGCUGCCCAGACGCCCGCGCGGCUAGCCAUCCAAGCAAAGUUU